GUUGAACGCUGGCGGAAUGCUUUACACAUGCAAGUCGAACGGUAGAGGGGGCAACCCCUCGAGAGUGGCGAACGGGUGAGUAAUAUAUCGGAACGUGCCCAGUCGUGGGGGAUAACGUAGCGAAAGUUACGCUAAUACCGCAUACGAUCUACGGAUGAAAGCGGGGGAUCGCAAGACCUCGCGCGAUUGGAGCGGCCGAUAUCAGAUUAGGUAGUUGGUGGGGUAAAGGCCCACCAAGCCUACGAUCUGUAGCUGGUCUGAGAGGACGACCAGCCACACUGGAACUGAGACACGGUCCAGACUCCUACGGGAGGCAGCAGUGGGGAAUUUUGGACAAUGGGCGAAAGCCUGAUCCAGCCAUUCCGCGUGUAGGAUGAAGGCCCUCGGGUUGUAAACUGCUUUUGUACAGAACGAAAAGGUUUCUACUAAUACUAGGAGCUCAUGACGGUACUGUAAGAAUAAGCACCGGCUAACUACGUGCCAGCCGCCGCAGUAA
rnacentral:rRNA from 1 species